rnacentral:lncRNA from 1 species
GGACUGCAUAAGUCAAAGAAUCAAACAAAAUAGAAUAGAUAGAUGUAGAGGAAAAACUGGGUUCUGUUGCUUGGGCGAUAGUACCGUAGGGGCACGAGAGGUACUUCCGCCACAAUGGUAGUAUCACUCGUGCAUAGGCGGUAGUGCCGCCCAGGUGGCAGAAAACAUCCAUGACAAUGGGGACGGCAGUGCGAAGCCCUAGACCCCAAUUUUCUGAUACCUCUACCUAAUCUAUUACAACUAGUAUCCAUCACACAUCCCUCUCAUGCCACGAGAAAGAAAAGUAGACAUGGAAUCCUCAUGCAUUGUGUUGGAAUUAUGCCCUAGAGGAAAUAAUGAAUAUAGUUAUUAUUAUGAUUCGUGUAUCAAGAUAAUUGUUUGUUAUCCAUGCUAUAAUUGUAUUGAAUGAAGACUUAUAUACAUGUGUGGAUACAUAGACAAAACACUGUCCCUAGAAAGCCUCUAGUUGGCUAGCCAGUUGAUCAAAGAUAGUCAGGGUCUUCUGACUAUGUACAAGGUGUUGUUGCUUGAUAACUGGAUCACGUCAUUAGGAGAAUCACGUGAUGGACUAGACCCAAACUAAUAGACGUAGCAUGUAGAUCGUGUCAUUUUGUUGCUACUGUUUUCU